rnacentral:rRNA from 1 species
AUAGCGUAUAUUAAAGUUGUUGCGGUUAAAAAGCUCGUAGUUGGAUCUCAGUUCGCGUCAGACGGUCCACUUGCCAGUGGCUACUGUCUGGCUGAACACCUUACCGAUUUUCGUCUUGCGGUGCUCUUCGCCGAGUGUCGCAAGCGAUCGGUACGUUUACUUUGAAAAAAUUAGAGUGCUCAAAGCAGGCGUUUCCCAUCGCCCGAAUAAUGUUGCAUGGAAUAAUGGAAUAGGACCUCGGUUCUAUUUUGUUGGUCUUCGGAACCCGAGGUAAUGAUUAAGAGGGACAGACGGGGGCAUUCGUAUUGCGGCGCUAGAGGUGAAAUUCUUGGACCGUCGCAAGACGAACUAAAG